rnacentral:rRNA from 1 species
CUUGUACACACCGCCCGUCACACCAUGGGAGCGGGUUCUGCCAGAAGUAGUUAGCCUAACCGCAAGGAGGGCGAUUACCACGGCAGGGUUCGUGACUAGGGUG